GAUGAAGAACGUAGCGAAAUGCGAUAAGUAAUGUGAAUUGCAGAAUUCAGUGAUUCAUCGAAUCUUUGAACGCACAUUGCGCCCCCUGGUAUUCCGGGGGGCAUGCCUGUCCGAGCGUCAUUACAACCCUCAAGCUCAGCUUGGUGUUGGGCCCCGCCGCCCCGGCGGGCCCUAAAGUCAGUGGCGGUGCCGUCCGGCUCCGAGCGUAGUAAUUCUUCUCGCUCUGGAGGUCCGGUCGUGUGCUCGCCAGCAACCCCCAAUUUUUUUCAGGUUGACCUCGGAUCAGGUAGGGAUACCCGCUGAACUUAAGCAUAUCAAUAAGCGGAGGA
rnacentral:misc_RNA from 1 species